ensembl:lncRNA DLGAP4-AS1 DLGAP4 antisense RNA 1
GAGGGGAAACUGAGGCCACUUAGUCCGGGCACUUACCCGCAGCUAGUUAAGGACUAGGCUCUGAUGGAGACGCUUGUUACGACCUCAAUGGCCUGUAGAAUCUGGGAGGCCGCCUCCGACCUAAGCCCAAAAAGCACAUGAUCGGGCUCACAGGGGGCGGCCAGAGGUGAAAACAGCCAACGCUUUACAACGACGCUGUGCGGGGCACUUCGUGUGUGUCAUCCCGUCUCAUCCUCGGGUGAUAGGAACUGUUCAUUCGGGAAAAUUGCAAACAACUAAAUACCCCUCACCAGGAGCUGGCCCAUUAUAGCAACUCUGAGACCUCUCUACCGCAGGCUCUUAAAAUGGGGGUCUCACUGUGUCACCCAGGCUGGAGUGCAGUGGUGUGAUCUCAGCUCACAGCAACCUAUAUCUCCCAGGUUCAAGAGAUUCUCACCUCAGCCUCCCGAGUAACUGGGAUUACAGGCUGGUCUUGAACUCCUGAGCUCAAGUGAUUCUCGUGCCUCAGCCUCCUGAGGAGCUAGGAUUACAGGCAGGAGCCAUCACACCUGUCAGGAGCAGCAUAUUUGAAGUCAGGACUUUUC